rnacentral:miRNA from 1 species
CGUUGUCCGUGUUGUUGAUGAUG